UUUUGACCUCAAAUCAGGUAAAGAUACCCGCCAACUUAAGCAUAUCA
rnacentral:rRNA from 1 species